rnacentral:rRNA from 1 species
GCCUACGGGGGGCAGCAGUGAGGAAUAUUGGUCAAUGGGCGCGAGCCUGAACCAGCCAAGUAGCGUGAAGGAUGACUGCCCUACGGGUUGUAAACUUCUUUUAUAAAGGAAUAAAGUGAGCCACGUGUGGCUUUUUGUAUGUACCAUACGAAUAAGGAUCGGCUAACUCCGUGCCAGCAGCCGCGGUAAUACGGAGGAUCCGAGCGUUAUCCGGAUUUAUUGGGUUUAAAGGGAGCGUAGGCGGAUUAUUAAGUCAGUUGUGAAAGUUUGCGGCUCAACCGUACAAUUGCAGUUGAUACUGGGAG